AUUGAACGCUGGCGGCAGGCCUAACACAUGCAAGUCGAGCGGAUGAGUGGAGCUUGCUCCAUGAUUCAGCGGCGGACGGGUGAGUAAUGCCUAGGAAUCUGCCUGGUAGUGGGGGACAACGUUUCGAAAGGAACGCUAAUACCGCAUACGUCCUACGGGAGAAAGCAGGGGACCUUCGGGCCUUGCGCUAUCAGAUGGGCCUAGGUCGGAUUAGCUAGUAGGUGAGGUAAUGGCUCACCUAGGCGACGAUCCGUAACUGGUCGGAGAGGAUGAUCAGUCACACUGGAACUGAGACACGGUCCAGACUCCUACGGGAGGCAGCAGUGGGGAAUAUUGGACAAUGGGCGAAAGCCUGAUCCAGCCAUGCCGCGUGUGUGAAGAAGGUCUUCGGAUCGUAAAGCACUUUAAGUUGGGAGGAAGGGCAGUAAGUUAAUACCUUGCUGUUUUGACGUUACCAACAGAAUAAGCACCGGCUAACUUCGUGCCAGCAGCCGCCGUAACAC
rnacentral:rRNA from 1 species